rnacentral:lncRNA from 1 species
CUACAUUAUCCUGCUCCUCUAGCUACACGUGAUCAAUUCAGGGAUAGUCAUCCAUCCCAAUUUAAGCUAAUCAAUCUUAUCGCCUAGGAAAUUUUAACUUUAGGCUUCGGAAAAUGGAUGAGUCUCUCUUCAAGCUGCUGAAUCUGCCACAUAUAAAAGUUUGGUCCAGUUGGUGACCACGUUCCUUUGUGUAGACUAAGUAGGAGACAAAUCCAGCCAUUACAAGAGAGGAAAGAGGAGAAGACAGCAGAGAAAAGCAAAGGGCCAGGUCAAGUUCACCAUUCCCUGCCCAUCAACCCGGCAGAGGGCCCUUCUUCUGGACUUUCACUCAGAACACCAUCUGCUCUGGCAGUCAUCAUUAACUCCUUGAGGGCAAAGACCACUAAGUCUACGGUUGGGGUACAC